rnacentral:tRNA from 1 species
GAGGGUAUAGCUCAGUGGUAGAGUGUGUGCUUCACAUGCACGAGGUCCUGGGUUCAGUCCCCAGUACCUCCA